rnacentral:tmRNA from 1 species
GGGGGCGAAAUGGUAUCGACCGGAUAGUUAGAAGUGAGGGUGGCGUGCCGUGGUUGGUCAGUUGGCCACGUUAAAAGCUGACCAAAAAAUUUAGUUGCAGACAAUAGUCUAGCAAUGGCAGCCUAAGACGGUUGCCCUGGCUGAGGGGGUUCGCCAGAGACGCCCGACUGCCAGUCGCAAUUCUGGAUCGUCUUCCACCGUGUCGGGCACGUGGAGGACUAAACUUUGCUCCCGGCUGGUUUGAACGGAAGCCUUGCUAAUUGGCGUCCGAACAAGCGAGACUUAAAUCAUUAGCUACGCACGUAGAAGCUUUCAUGGAAAUAUCUCGGGACGCGGGUUCGAUUCCCGCCGCCUCCACUG